AAUAUGAUGCCUGAAAAAGGGCUGUCUUGAUAGGACAGAUUAUGUAAUUUUUUUACUCAUGUUA
rnacentral:tRNA from 1 species